rnacentral:tmRNA from 1 species
GGGGCUGAUCGGUUUCGACGUUGAGACCAGAAGCUGUCGGUGCGACUCGAGUUGCUCAGACUCGUAAAACGGGGCUCUUUAGAAGACGGCAACAAAACCGACUUCGCUCUUGCCGCUUAAUUUUUAAGCAGUACAGAGGAAAACUGCGAGCCGUGAGGCCACGCAGGGCCUGAUCACUACAGCCCGGUAACAGAAGUAGUGAUGGACGGUGGGAGAGACCACUGACGGACAGGAAAGACUUCUGACUCCAGGGAAAGCUCUGGCGGUUUAUAACCCGGUAGCCGGACAGCCGUAAGUCCGAAACACGGGAAUGGUCGUAGCGUUGGCAGUAACUGCUUAGCGGACGGGGGUUCGAUUCCCCCCAGCUCCACUC